rnacentral:rRNA from 1 species
GUGAGUAACACGUGAGCAACCUGCCCUUCUCUUUGGAAUAAGCGUUGGAAACGACGUCUAAUGCCGAAUAUGACCUCUUUUCGCAUGAUUUGAGGUGGAAAGCUCCGGCGGAGAGGGAUGGGCUCGCGGCCUAUCAGCUAGUUGGUGUGGGUAAUGGCCCACCAAGGCGACGACGGGUAGCCGGCCUGAGAGGGUGACCGGCCACACUGGGACUGAGACACGGCCCAGACUCCUACGGGAGGCAGCAGUGGGGAAUAUUGGACAAUGGGCGAAAGCCUGAUCCAGCAACGCCGCGUGAGGGAUGACGGCCUUCGGGUUGUAAACCUCUUUCAGCGGGGACGAAGCGAAAGUGACGGUACCCGCAGAAGAAGGACCGGCCAACUACGUGCCAGCAGCCGCGGUAAUACGUAGGGUCCGAGCGUUGUCCGGAAUUAUUGGGCGUAAAGGGCUCGUAGGCGGUCUGUCGCGUCGGGAGUGAAAACUCAGGGCUCAACCCUGAGCGUGCUUCCGAUACGGGCAGACUAGAGGUAUGCAGGGGAGAACGGAAUUCCUGGUGUAGCGGUGGAAUGCGCAGAUAUCAGGAGGAACACCGGUGGCGAAGGCGGUUCUCUGGGCAUUACCUGACGCUGAGGAGCGAAAGCAUGGGGAGCGAACAGGAUUAGAUACCCUGGUAGUCCAUGCCGUAAACGUUGGGCGCUAGGUGUGGGGACCUUCCACGGUUUCCGUGCCGCAGCUAACGCAUUAAGCGCCCCGCCUGGGGAGUACGGCCGCAAGGCUAAAACUCAAAAGGAAUUGACGGGGGGCCCGCACAAGCGGCCGGAGCAUGCUUGAUUAAUUUCGAUGCAACGCCGAAGAACCUUUACCUUGGUUUUGACAUAUACCCGGAAAAGCUGCAAAAGAUGUAACCCCCCCUUUGUGGUCCGGAAUACAAGGUGGGUGCAUGGGCUUGUCCUCCAGCUCCGUGUCCUGGAGAUUGUUGGGGUUAAAGUCCCCGCAACCGAGCGGCAACCCCUCCGUCCUAUUGUUGGCCAGGACCGUCAUUGGUGGGGGACUCCAUAAGGAAAACUGGCCGGGGGUCAAAUUCCGGAAGGAAAGGUGGGG